UUCUCCAUAAAAAAAUCAAUUUCUCUCUUAUCCUAACAUCUCUCCCUCUUUCAAAACUCUAAAUCGAGCCUAACAAUUUUAUGAGUAUUAUUUAUCUCUUCUCCUGAAGCUUUAGUGGCACAAUCUCAAAUAGAAACAGAGGAAGAACAAAUCAUUGAUAUGGAUUUUUUAAAGACCCGCCACCACCUCCUGUGGAUUCCGUUGAAAAAACAGCCGCAUUAUUAGCCGUGGCAUCACCAAUAAGAACAACACUUGCUAGAAGUUGCAAUUUCAACACAGCGGCGAAAGCGAAGGCCAAGGCCAAGGCUAAUGCUUUUGUCAUUUAUGUUCCUCCGGUAUUUGCUGCAUUUGUGUUUUUGAAGGCAAU
rnacentral:lncRNA from 1 species